UGGGGAAUUUUGGACAAUGGGCGCAAGCCUGAUCCAGCCAUGCCGCGUGCAGGAAGAAGGCCUUCGGGUUGUAAACYGCUUUUGUCAGGGAAGAAAUSGUUCSKRCUAAUACYKSGGGMUWAUGACGGUACCUGAAGAAUAAGCACCGGCUAACUACGUGCCAGCAGCCGCGGUAAUACGUAGGGUGCRAGCGUUAAUCGGAAUUACUGGGCGUAAAGCGUGCGCAGGCGGCUUUGCAAGACAGAUGUGAAAUCCCCGGGCUCAACCUGGGAACUGCAUUUGUGACUGCAAGGCUAGAGUACGGUAGAGGGGGAUGGAAUUCCGCGUGUAGCAGUGAAAUGCGUAGAUAUGCGGAGGAACACCGAUGGCGAAGGCAAUCCCCUGGACCUGUACUGACGCUCAUGCACGAAAGCGUGGGGAGCAAACAGGAUUAGAUACCCUGGUAGUCCACGCCCUAAACGAUGUCAACUGGUUGUUGGACGGCUUGCUGUUCAGUAACGAAGCUAACGCGUGAAGUUGACCGCCUGGGGAGUACGGCCGCAAGGUUG
rnacentral:rRNA from 1 species